AUAACGCCAUAUUCGUACAGUAGUAUAUUUCAAUUUUCAAUUCCUAACUAACUCCCAAUCUUUGUCUCUCUAGCUAGUCUAGUCAUUCAUUCAUUCAUCGAAAGGGUAAUUCGUAUUCAAGCAAAAUGGAGGAAGGUAAGAAUAACAGAGGAACGAUCAUGAUCACAAACGAUGAUGGAAUCGAUGCACCUGGCCUCAGAGCUUUGGUUAAAGCUCUCCUUGACACAAAUCUAUACAAUCUCCAAAUCUGCGCCCCUGAUUCUGAGAAAUCAGCUGUGAGUCACAGUAUUACAUGGCUUCACCCUAUAGCUGCCAAGAAAGUUCACAUUGAUGGAACUACAGCCUAUGCAGUUUCUGGAACUCCAGCUGAUUGCACUUCUCUGGGAGUUUCCAAAGCACUCUUUCCUACAGUUGCUGAUCUGGUAAUAAGUGGCAUAAACAUGGGUAACAACUGUGGUUAUCACAUUGUUUACUCAGGCACAGUUGCUGGAGCUCGAGAGGCAUUCUUCUAUGAUAUACCUUCUAUCUCCAUUUCAUACGACUGGGUUAAAGGAAGGAGUAACCUAAAUGACUUCACCCUUGCCGCGCAAGCAUGCUUACCUAUCAUAAGUGCUUUACUGGUUGAUAUAAAGAACCAAAGAUAUCCUCAAAAGUGCUUUUUGAAUAUAGAUGUUCCAAGCAACGUUGCAAAUCAGAAGGGGUACAUGCUAACUAAGCAGGGUAAGAGUUUAAUCAAGAUGGGAUGGAAGCAAAUCACCUCUGAGACGGAAGGACGAAAAAUGUUAUCAGAUAUGACCAAUGCAGAAACAGCAGCACAUGCAGAUGUUAACGUGUCAUCUAUAUCACCUGAAAGUCUUUUAUUUGCAAGAGAAGUAAAAGGUUCCCAACUUGAUCAUGAUGAUAGCAGUGAUCAUAAAUCUCUGCAGGAAGGAUAUAUUACUGUCACCCCUCUUGCUGCUAUCUCUCAGGCAGAGGUAGAUUGUCAAAACUAUUUUAAGGAUUGGCUACAAAAUGUCUCAGAAUCUCCCUCUUCAUCGGCUCUAUAAUGCUCAGGUGUCUAUGGAUGGAACCAAACUUGUAAAGUUUUAAUCAUGCAGAAUGAACACAAAAUAAGUUGAUAAAAUUGAAGCGUAACUCUGUUUUGUCAGGGGGAGAGAGGUGUUGGUUCGUGAGGCGAGCCAAAGAGAUCAUCACUUUGGGCUAUCAGAGCAACCACACAAGAGUGUUGGGAAUGGGGGUGCUUCAUAUUUUUCAUCGAGACUACAUAGCUUCAAAUUGGCAAUAAGACUGGGUAGUAAAAAAGUUGCCCAAGUACCUAUAACACUUUGGCUAAGAAUCAUGAAGAGACGAGAGAGUGAACAAUUUUAAACUGAUAAAUUUUUGAGUGACAUUCUACAUUUUUAUUGAACUGAGAAAAAAGACAUGACAAGAAAAUCAGAAUUAUUCAAUUAGAAUUGAGAAGUUAGUUAAGCUUCCUGGCUUGCUUAUGAUAGUUUAGCUGCUUCCCAUAUAGAGUCAAAUGUCAUAUGAAUAAUACAAUAUCACAUCGGCUCUUCCCUCUUCAUUUUUAUCCUUAUGUUAUGAUUUAUGAAUGCAUAUUCUCUUCAGAUUACUCUAGUUUUAUUAAAAGUGACUUCUACUCAA